GGUUAAGCGACUAAGCGUACACGGUGGAUGCCCUGGCAGUCAGAGGCGAUGAAGGACGUGCUAAUCUGCGAAAAGCGUCGGUAAGGUGAUAUGAACCGUUAUAACCGGCGAUGUCCGAAUGGGGAAACCCAGUGUGAUUCGUCACACUAUCGUUAACUGAAUACAUAGGUUAACGAGGCGAACCGGGGGAACUGAAACAUCUAAGUACCCCGAGGAAAAGAAAUCAACCGAGAUUCCCCCAGUAGCGGCGAGCGAACGGGGAGCAGCCCAGAGUCUGAAUCAGCUUGUGUGUUAGUGGAACGGUCUGGAAAGUCCGACGGUACAGGGUGAUAGUCCCGUACACCAAAAUGCACAGGCUGUGAACUCGAAGAGUAGGGCGGGACACGUGGUAUCCUGUCUGAAUAUGGGGGGACCAUCCUCCAAGGCUAAAUACUCCUGACUGACCGAUAGUGAACCAGUACCGUGAGGGAAAGGCGAAAAGAACCCCGGCGAGGGGAGUGAAAAAGAACCUGAAACCGUGUACGUACAAGCAGUGGGAGCACCUUCGGGUGUGACUGCGUACCUUUUGUAUAAUGGGUCAGCGACUUAUAUUCUGUAGCAAGGUUAACCGUAUAGGGGAGCCGCAGGGAAACCGAGUCUUAACUGGGCGUUAAGUUGCAGGGUAUAGACCCGAAACCCGGUGAUCUAGCCAUGGGCAGGUUGAAGGUUGGGUAACACUAACUGGAGGACCGAACCGACUAAUGUUGAAAAAUUAGCGGAUGACUUGUGGCUGGGGGUGAAAGGCCAAUCAAACCGGGAGAUAGCUGGUUCUCCCCGAAAGCUAUUUAGGUAGCGCCUCGUGAACUCAUCUUCGGGGGUAGAGCACUGUUUCGGCUAGGGGGUCAUCCCGACUUACCAACCCGAUGCAAACUACGAAUACCGAAGAAUGUUAUCACGGGAGACACACGGCGGGUGCUAACGUCCGUCGUGAAGAGGGAAACAACCCAGACCGCCAGCUAAGGUCCCAAAGUCAUGGUUAAGUGGGAAACGAUGUGGGAAGGCACAGACAGCCAGGAUGUUGGCUUAGAAGCAGCCAUCAUUUAAAGAAAGCGUAAUAGCUCACUGGUCGAGUCGGCCUGCGCGGAAGAUGUAACGGGGCUAAACCAUGCACCGAAGCUGCGGCAGCGACACUAUGUGUUGUUGGGUAGGGGAGCGUUCUGUAAGCCUGCGAAGGUGACCUGUGAGGGUUGCUGGAGGUAUCAGAAGUGCGAAUGCUGACAUAAGUAACGAUAAAGCGGGUGAAAAGCCCGCUCGCCGGAAGACCAAGGGUUCCUGUCCAACGUUAAUCGGGGCAGGGUGAGUCGACCCCUAAGGCGAGGCCGAAAGGCGUAGUCGAUGGGAAACAGGUUAAUAUUCCUGUACUUGGUGUUACUGCGAAGGGGGGACGGAGAAGGCUAUGUUAGCCGGGCGACGGUUGUCCCGGUUUAAGCAUGUAGGCUGAUUGUCCAGGCAAAUCCGGAUAAUCAAGGCUGAGGUGUGAUGACGAGGCACUACGGUGCUGAAGUAACAAAUGCCCUGCUUCCAGGAAAAGCCUCUAAGCAUCAGGUAACAUCAAAUCGUACCCCAAACCGACACAGGUGGUCAGGUAGAGAAUACCAAGGCGCUUGAGAGAACUCGGGUGAAGGAACUAGGCAAAAUGGUGCCGUAACUUCGGGAGAAGGCACGCUGGUGUGUAGGUGAAGCCCCUGCGGGUGGAGCUGAGACCAGUCGAAGAUACCAGCUGGCUGCAACUGUUUAUUAAAAACACAGCACUGUGCAAACACGAAAGUGGACGUAUACGGUGUGACGCCUGCCCGGUGCCGGAAGGUUAAUUGAUGGGGUUAUCCGUAAGGAGAAGCUCUUGAUCGAAGCCCCGGUAAACGGCGGCCGUAACUAUAACGGUCCUAAGGUAGCGAAAUUCCUUGUCGGGUAAGUUCCGACCUGCACGAAUGGCGUAAUGAUGGCCAGGCUGUCUCCACCCGAGACUCAGUGAAAUUGAACUCGCUGUGAAGAUGCAGUGUACCCGCGGCAAGACGGAAAGACCCCGUGAACCUUUACUAUAGCUUGACACUGAACAUUGAGCCUUGAUGUGUAGGAUAGGUGGGAGGCUUUGAAGCGUGGACGCCAGUCUGCGUGGAGCCAACCUUGAAAUACCACCCUUUAAUGUUUGAUGUUCUAACGUUGGCCCCUUACCGGGGUUGCGGACAGUGUCUGGUGGGUAGUUUGACUGGGGCGGUCUCCUCCCAAAGCGUAACGGAGGAGCACGAAGGUUAGCUAAUCCUGGUCGGACAUCAGGAGGUUAGUGCAAUGGCAUAAGCUAGCUUGACUGCGAGCGUGACGGCGCGAGCAGGUGCGAAAGCAGGUCAUAGUGAUCCGGUGGUUCUGAAUGGAAGGGCCAUCGCUCAACGGAUAAAAGGUACUCCGGGGAUAACAGGCUGAUACCGCCCAAGAGUUCAUAUCGACGGCGGUGUUUGGCACCUCGAUGUCGGCUCAUCACAUCCUGGGGCUGAAGUAGGUCCCAAGGGUAUGGCUGUUCGCCAUUUAAAGUGGUACGCGAGCUGGGUUUAGAACGUCGUGAGACAGUUCGGUCCCUAUCUGCCGUGGGCGCUGGAGAAUUGAGGGGGGCUGCUCCUAGUACGAGAGGACCGGAGUGGACGCAUCACUGGUGUUCGGGUUGUCAUGCCAAUGGCACUGCCCGGUAGCUAAAUGCGGAAGAGAUAAGUGCUGAAAGCAUCUAAGCACGAAACUUGCCCCGAGAUGAGUUCUCCCUGAGACUUUAAGUCUCCUGAAGGAACGUUGAAGACGACGACGUUGAUAGGCCGGGUGUGUAAGCGCAGCGAUGCGUUGAGCUAACCGGUACUAAUGAACCGUGAGGCUUAACCUU
rnacentral:rRNA from 2 species